AUUGAACGCUGGCGGCAGGCCUAACACAUGCAAGUCGAGCGCGCGGCGGACGGGUGAGUAAUGUCUGGGAAACUGCCUGAUGGAGGGGGAUAACUACUGGGAACGGUAGCUAAUACCGCAUACCCUCAGAUGUGCCCCGAUGGGAUUAGCUAGUGGGUGGGGUAACGGCUCACCCAGGCGACGCUCCCUAGCUGGUCUGAGAGGGUGACCAGCCAAACUGGAACUGAGACACGGUCCAGACUCCUACGGGAGGCAGCAGUGGGGAAUAUUGCACAAUGGGCGCAAGCCUGAUGCAGCCAUGCCGCGUGUAUGAAGAAGGCCUUCGGGUUGUAAAGCACUUUCAGCGGGGAGGCGUUACCCGCAGAAGAAGCACCGGCUAACUCCGUGCCAGCAGCCGCGGUAAUAC
rnacentral:rRNA from 1 species